rnacentral:lncRNA from 1 species
GACUCACCGAGCGAAGCCUGCACCGUCUCGGCCGCGGAGAAGGCGAGCAGCGAGCCCUCUUUGGCCAGGAAGCCUUUGCCGUCCUCCGCGUCAGCCUGCAGCGCCUCCGCCUUGUCGAAGUUACCGCCGCCGGGCAGCGGCUGCGGCGCGAACUUGCGGGCCGCUGCCGCCUCCUGGUGCUGGGGCGACGCGGAGAAGCCGCCGGGGAGCGUGGCCAUGAGCGUAGAGGCGCUAAUUAAGCACGUUGCGAACGCAAGGAGUGCUCACCCUGGCGCCGCCGCCCGGUUUCCAGCGCGAGGACUCGAGGGCGCGCGGUUCCUCUUUGCUAACUGCAGGAUGGAGCCGAUCCCCUCAGGAUGUUUCCCCUGUUCUCGACAACGCUCUUGUCUUCCCUUUAAAAAUGGAAUCACUUCUUGACAACGGCAGACCGUGCAGAGCGCACCAGCGCGAGCGGGGCUUCCUCGAGUCUCCAAGGCCCGGGCUUCAACUUCCCGGGUCUAGACGUCAGCCCUGAACCGCCAACAGCACCGGGUUGGGGAGAAGGAAAGAAGGGCAUUGUUAGUUCGGUCAUUAAAAAUCAGCUCACGCCGAGGAGCUAGUGGUUGGGGAGUUGGCCCGUGUUGGACGUGUGUUAUGUAUCACUUACAAGCACAUUUAAUUGGGAGAUAAAGAUAAAUCGAUCUUUAUGAAUUUAUCGA